rnacentral:rRNA from 1 species
GGCAGGCUUAACACAUGCAAGUCGAGGGGUAACAGGGAUUGCUUGCAAUCCGCUGACGACCGGCGCACGGGUGAGUAACGCGUAUGCAACCUACCUUUUACUGGGGGAUAGUCAAGAGAAAUUUUGAAUAAUACCCCAUACGAUCUGAUU